UGCUUUUCUUUCGAAAAACCCGUGCGCAAAAUCAACAGCACGAGGGCAGUGCGUUUUGCACCCGGGUUUGUUUCUAUCAGGACACUAUAAAGGUGACACUCCAGCCACAUGCAAUAUACAAUCCGACGAGACAAGAACACAUUCGCUCAACACAGAGAAGAACUGACCACUACCUGAAAAAAAUGGAUCCCUGCGACUGCGCCAAGACUGGAACCUGCAACUGCGGCACAUCAUGCACCUGCGCAAACUGCUCCUGCACAAAAUGCAAGAAAAGUUGUUGCGAGUGCUGUCCAGUAGGCUGCAACAAGUGCGCCUCCGGGUGCGUGUGCAAAGACAAUGGCUGCGGUACAAAUUGUUGCCAGUGAGGACUGUCUCAAAAGCUUCCGAAUGGGGGGGCUUGUUGGAAGGGACCAAAGUAAUUUGUUAAUUGCUGUACUCUUCCAAAAUAAACUGCAUCUUCUCUACCUGU